rnacentral:rRNA from 11 species
GAGAGGGCAACAACCCAGACCGCCAGCUAAGGUCCCCAAUACCAGUUAAGUGGGAAACGAUGUGGGAAGGCAUAGACAGCUAGGAGGUUGGCUUAGAAGCAGCCACCCUUUAAAGAAAGCGGAAUAGCUCACUAGUCGAGUCGUCCUGCGCGGAAGAUGUAACGGGGCUAAGCAAUAUACCGAAGCUGCGGCAGCACAGUUUACUGUGCUGGGUAGGGGAGCGUUGUGUAAGUGGCUGAAGGUGAACCGGGAGGU